rnacentral:rRNA from 1 species
GGGGGAUAUUGCACAAUGGGGGAAACCCUGAUGCAGCGACGCCGCGUGAGCGAAGAAGGCCUUCGGGUCGUAAAGCUCUGUCCUAAGGGAAGAUAAUGACGGUACCUUAGGAGGAAGCCCCGGCUAACUACGUGCCAGCAGCCGCGGUAAUACGUAGGUGGCAAGCGUUGUCCGGAAUUACUGGGCGUAAAGGGUGCGUAGGCGGUCCUUUAAGUGGGAUGUGAAAUCCCUGGGCUUAACCCAGGAACUGCAUUCCAAACUGGAGGACUAGAGUGCAGGAGAGGAAAGCGGUAUUCCCAGUGUAGCGGUGAAAUGCGUAGAGAUUGGGAGGAACACCAGUAGCGAAGGCGGCUUUCUGGAAUGUAACUGACGCUGAGGCACGAAAGCGUGGGGAGCAAACAGGA